CUCGAGCUGCUCGAGGGCCUUGUUGUAGUUGGUGAUGUACGUCUGGUGGUGCUUCUGGUGGUGGAGCUUCAUGAUCUCGCCACUGAUGGCGGGCUCGAGGGCGCCGUAGUCGUAGGGGAGGUCCGGCAACGAGAAGGUCACGAGGCCCCGGGCUUGGCGGAGCCCCAACCCCAUCCCCGGGGCGGAGGCGCCGGCGGCGGCGCAGGGACUAAACACUAGCCCUAGAGCUAGGGUUUUCUUGCCGGCGAUCGCACGGAGAGCCAUGGAGACGGAGAAUACUGGAAGAAGAAGAGAGCAGGUGCUCAGC
rnacentral:lncRNA from 1 species